rnacentral:rRNA from 1 species
UGACCGCUGGCGGCGUGCCUAAUACAUGCACGUCGAGCGAACAGACGAGGAGCUUGCUCCUCUGACGUUAGCGGCGGACGGGUGAGUAACACGUGGAUAACCUACCUAUAAGACUGGGAUAACUUCGGGAAACCGGAGCUAAUACCGGAUAAUAUAUUGAACCGCAUGGUUCAAUAGUGAAAGACGGUUUUGCUGUCACUUAUAGAUGGAUCCGCGCCGCAUUAGCUAGUUGGUAAGGUAACGGCUUACCAAGGCAACGAUGCGUAGCCGACCUGAGAGGGUGAUCGGCCACACUGGAACUGAGACACGGUCCAGACUCCUACGGGAGGCAGCAGUAGGGAAUCUUCCGCAAUGGGCGAAAGCCUGACGGAGCAACGCCGCGUGAGUGAUGAAGGUCUUCGGAUCGUAAAACUCUGUUAUUAGGGAAGAGCAAAUGUGUAAGUAACUAUGCACGUCUUGACGGUACCUAAUCAGAAAGCCACGGCUAACUACGUG